UUGCCUCCUGGAGCCUCCAUGCCUCUUUU
rnacentral:piRNA from 1 species